CACACAGAGCAUUAGCCAUCUUUUCAUCCCUGCCAGUGACAUCGCUCCGUCAGUCAAUCCAUCAAUCAGCAUGAUGUAGCGCUCGACGCUAAUCCAGUCGCGUCCUUUGAACCUUUGAGGAACAGACAGCACCAAGAGCACGCAGCGACUCCACUCGGUUGAUGAUGUCAGCCAAAUCAAAGGGAAGCGGCAUGUCGGGGUCGUCCACGCCCCAGAAGGGACGGUCAACGGGGGCCUCCUCGGGGGCCAAUGUCUGCGCCAGGCUCGAGUGGCACCUGAAGUGACGGGACACAAGGAACAAACGUCAGCGCUCUUGUUCACAAACAAUUGCUCAUCGUUAUGACUUGUACCACUUGUUGAUCGCGGGAGAAUACAGAAAAUUAAAAACAAAUGACUCAG